UACGGAGGGGGCUAGCGUUGUUCGGAAUUACUGGGCGUAAAGCGCACGUAGGCGGCUUUGUAAGUUAGAGGUGAAAGCCCGGGGCUCAACUCCGGAACUGCCUUUAAGACUGCAUCGCUAGAAUUGUGGAGAGGUAAGUGGAAUUCCGAGUGUAGAGGUGAAAUUCGUAGAUAUUCGGAAGAACACCAGUGGCGGAGGCGACUUACUGGACACAUAUUGACGCUGAGGUGCGAAAGCGUGGGGAGCAAACAGG
rnacentral:rRNA from 1 species